AAAUCCAGUGCCAGUGCUUUAGCCCCACAAGAAGUAAACCUCUGACUCUUCAGGACAUGGCUCUGAAGCAUCCAGUGCUGGGAGGAAGCAUGGAACAUUUGAAGCUCCACUGACAGCAGACGGGAAGAUAGCAGAGAAAAGAAGAAACCAUCAUAUGCCUUAAGAAAAUGAACGGUUCCUAUUCCACCAAAACUGCUCCGUCGCUUUCAGUUCCGGCUGUUCCUGCUGCUUUCGGCUCAAACACGUUCAUUGUCAGGUGGCGUCGAGCUGCGGAAAAGCCGAGGCUAGACACGUCCCACCAUCACCACCUCCACCACCUCCACUGCUCUUGUCCCCUUCCUCCUCCCCUUCCAUGCGGACCGUACCCUAAAAGUGACACGACUCCUGCAGGGGGUGAAAAGCCCCUUCUCUCCCUGGCACCCGAACGGAGCAGGGAACUGUAUGUGCGGGUCCUUCCUCGGGGUUAGCCUCUCCUGGUACUCGGCUUUUUCAGGGUUAAGAUGUUUGAAAUGUCGCCUUCAAAGCAAAACCCAAAGUUGGAGCUGUCAGCCCACCCGAGGGCCAGCGUGCCGUGCUCAUGCGGGGUUUCAGCGUUCGUAGGUUUUGUUAGGUCGCGGUUGCUCGUUUUGAGCGGAGCGCCUUCAGCGAAAUAAACACCCGAUAGCGAAAAGAUCGUCUCCAACUACGGCUAGCAGUGACCACGUAUCAACUCAGUAAACUUUGCCCGUAACUUAUUUGCAAAUGCUGCUUCGCCCUUCCGAUGAGGACAAAAGCAGGCAGUAGGUGCUCAGGCAGAAAGAGCUUAAAGAAACUUUAAAGCAAGAAUUAAUCUGAAGGGAUAACAUUUUUUCGCCUACUUCUGCACAGUGGUUGAAGAGAGGUGGCUCGAGGAAUUCGGCUUGUCAGGUUGAAGGGGAGAAAAAGCUCUGCGGAGUUGAGUAAGUUAAUGAUGUAUGAGCCCGAUGGUGCUGUGUAAUGAAAAUACAGCCCUAAGCCGCAGCUACUAAACCAAAAAGGACUGAAUCACCGUCUGCAUCCCUCAAAGGGACCUUCAGCGUGCCUUCCCCUGGCAGCCCUGACUUCCAGCUCCUUCUGCUGCCAGGCAGCUUGACAGUGUACCCUGGGCACUUUCUCCUAAAAUUUGAAAAAUCCGGGCAGCAAUGGUGCGCGGUGUUUGGAGAAGAGGAGAUGCCUAUUUUAAAAAACAACUCUGAUUUUUACACCACUCCGCUUCUUUUCCCCUCUCCUUUGCUCCCGUUUAAAGAACUUGUUAUUGUUUAAAGAGACCCCAUUGAACUAUUUCCUGCUCAUUGUCACCUCUCUCCUCCUCGCCCUCUAUCCAGGGAUUCUCACGGAAAGGUAAUAAACUUCCCUCACACCACAGACCGCCGCAGCCCCGGAGAAUGCAAACUAUUACAACACCGGCCGGCGGGAGUGCUUCAGAGCAGCCCUCUUUUCCCUCGUCCCGGCCCUUGUUUUUGUGUCAAAUAACUCCAAAAUAAAUUCAUCCCGUUGCAAACUUUCACCCAUGAGGCUGAGCCUCCCAUCUUGCCCACAGGAGCUCGCGGGGGUUUCUCCUUCCUACACGAAACAAAGCCUUUAACUAUCGAUCUGGUUUUCAGAAGUCUGUUUUUAUUUAGG
rnacentral:lncRNA from 13 species